CAAUGAAGCUAUGUACGGUCGACAGUUGCCAUAUAGCGUGCACAAAUUCUGAUAAUGUGUGUUUUUUAUGCAGCGUGUGACUUGUGACCUGGUACGAUUAAGCGUUUUCGUGCCGUCAUUUCCACUUCGAGAAAACAUCAUUUUUAAAGUAAAAUGCAGUUUUGUGACGCAUACUUGGUCAAUCUAUCAAUAAAUGGGUUAUCUAGGUUCACAUUGAUAUGGAUGAAAGGUUUGGGUCGACAUGCUUUCGUGAGAUUUUAGCCAAUACUGAGGGUGAAUAAAACAGGAAUUCGUCAAGUCGCGACGUACGAAGUGUACAUGCAGUGUCAUGGCGUGACGAGUGGGGACCUUCGAGGCCAUGUUUUGGCAUAAUUUCGGAGAUUCAGACGGAAAUCUCAAAGACCUAUUGGUUGUCUCUCGGACGCUGUGGAGGAGGUUGGCCUACAUUUCUUCUUAUGCGGAGUGUACGGCAUUCCACCAUGACAAGCAGAUGACGUACCCUGCCCUGACGAAGGAUACCUUCAGAAAAUUUGACAACUUUCAUCGGUUUUGAAGAGUUUCUUCCUAUUUCUGGAUUGAAGAUGGCAACGACAUGCAUGGCCGCGUAUAAUGGACGAGCUUUGGAUUCCUCCGCAUCUGAUCUGUACUACCCACCCAUUGCGAUUGAACUCCGUAUCAGUUCCUGACCAUGCCAUGACAUGGCCAUGUUCAUUCAAACAGCCCAACCCCCACUCUGAACCUUUCUAAAUAGUCCAUGGUGUGGAGUACAUGUACAUGUAUUUUUAGUGUGAUCUGAAUUGGGAGUGGUAGGUGUAGUCUGUUCGCUGCCUCCCUG